rnacentral:rRNA from 1 species
AGCGUAGACGGAAUGGCAAGUCUGAUGUGAAAGGCCGGGGCUCAACCCCGGGACUGCAUUGGAAACUGUCAAUCUAGAGUACCGGAGGGGUAAGUGGAACUCCUAGUGUAGCGGUGAAAUGCGUAGAUAUUAGGAGGAACACCGGUGGCGAAGGCGGCAUCCUGGACCGGCAUUGACGCUGAGGCGCGAAAGCUAGGGGAGCAAAC